UCGAUGCAUACACAUCAAUGCCUACACAUC
rnacentral:piRNA from 1 species